CCUCCCAAAGUGCUGGGGUUGUAGGCAUGAACCGCCACACCCAGCCAUGGGAGUAUUUUUCUUCCCUUUCAGUGAUUCUAAUGGAUUGUGAGGAGCACAGGAGGGAGGAGAAUCUAAUUUUUAUUUCAUGUCUACCAUUCAUUUUCUCCUGUGCAAAAUCAAGGUUUGGGCUUGAUGGGCUAUCUUCAAUUUUUUCUCUGGUGCUAAUGAACUGAUUCCAUAAGCAAAUUAGAGAGCCCAUGUAAACAGUAUGGUGCCUGGUACAGGGUGGGUGUUCAAUGAAUGGCAACUAUCAUUAUUAUUCACCCAGCACAUUAUGUUCCUGAAAACCAGGAACUGCUUCCUGUCUGACCCACUGCAGUGGUGGAGAGGAUCAAGGGAAAUAAUGAUCAUGGAUGUGCUUAGGAGACGUAAGAUUUUACUAAGAAUUGCUGUGAGCUGGGCACCCUUCUACGCUCUGCAGACACCAUGGCUAGUAAGACAGGCAAAGACCUGCCAUCUGGAGCUUGUUUGGAUAUAGGGUAGGGGGACGGGGAGAAGGGAGAUAAACAAUAAACAAGUAAAUUUACA
rnacentral:lncRNA from 1 species